rnacentral:rRNA from 1 species
CACGUAGGGUGCGAGCGUUGUCCGGAAUUAUUGGGCGUAAAGAGCUCGUAGGCGGUCUGUCGCGUCUGCUGUGAAAACUCAGGCUUAACCCUGAGCUUGCAGUGGGUACGGGCAGACUAGAGUGCGGUAGGGGGAGACUGGAAUUCCUGGUGUAGCGGUGAAAUGCGCAGAUAUCAGGAGGAACACCGGUGGCGAAGGCGGGGUCUCUGGGCCGUAAACUGACGC